GAUGAACGCUGGCGGCGUGCCCAAUACAUGCAAGUCGAGCGAAUGGAUUAAGAGCUUGCUCUUAUGAAGUUAGCGGCGGACGGGUGAGUAACACGUGGGUAACCUGCCCAUAAGACUGGGAUAACUCCGGGAAACCGGGGCUAAUACCGGAUAAUAUUUUGAACUGCAUGGUUCAAAAUUGAAAGGCGGCUUCGGCUGUCACUUAUGGAUGGACCCGCGUCGCAUUAGCUAGUUGGUGAGGUAACGGCUCACCAAGGCAACGAUGCGUAGCCGACCUGAGAGGGGGAUCGGCCACACUGGGACUGAGACACGGCCCAGACUCCUACGGGAGGCAGCAGUAGGGAAUCUUCCGCAAUGGACGAAAGUCUGACGGAGCAACGCCGCGUGAGUGAUGGAGGCUUUCGGGUCGUAAAACUCUGUUGUUAGGGAAGAACAAGUGCUAGUUGAAUAAGCUGGCACCUUGACGGUACCUAACCAGAAAGCCACGGCUAACUACGUGCCAGCCGCCGCGGUAA
rnacentral:rRNA from 1 species